AAUCAACGCUGGCGGCGUGCCUCAGACAUGCAAGUCGAACGCGAAAGUUCCCUUCGGGGGCGAAGUAGAGUGGCGCACGGGUGAGUAACACGUAGGUAAUCUACCUUUGGAUGGGGAAGUAACAACCGGAAACGGUUGCUAAUACCGCAUAAUGCAGCGGCACCUAAUGGUGACAGUUGUUAAAGCGGGGGAGUCGAAAGACCUCGCGUCUAAAGAGGAGCCUGCGGCGGAUUAGCAGUUGGUAGGGUAACGGCCUACCAAGGCUACGAUCCGUAGCCGGCCUGAGAGGGCGGUCGGCCACACUGACACUGACAUACGGGUCAGACUCCUACGGGAGGCAGCAGUCGGGAAUUUUGGGCAAUGGGCGAAAGCCUGACCCAG
rnacentral:rRNA from 1 species